GUGGCCGCCGCGGCGGGGCGAUGGUGAUGGCCGGUGGGCAGCGGAAGCGAUUUUGGAACGCGGAACGCACACCUUUCCCAGAUGAGACACCCCUACAGCUGAAAAAAGCAAAUGUCAGGACAUCGGUGGCUGCUACCUCCAUUUCCAGUGCGUGGCUUAGGUGUGGGGAUGGUUUUCAGAGCACUUCAGUGCUGGAGUCCCUGAGACCUACAGAUAAGAAAUCCAGGAUUAAGAAGCAUCUUGGACCACUGUUAAGAUCUGCUGAAAGUGCAGCAGGAUCUGCUGCUGCUGAAAGCUCUAAGGAGGCUGAGAGCAUAAUAUGGACCUCUAGUGACAGUGAUUUUUCAGAUUAUGAAAAUAAAACAUCGAUUCCAAGGUUAAAGAGCAAAGAAUGUCACACUUCCAAAACAGAGGAAUCACCUAGCGGACAUGAUUUAGUGUUAGAGGACAGUAGUAGUGAAGAUGAACCAGAGUUCAUUGACUGGGAGAAGGACAGUGAUUCUACUGAUGGAUGUGAUGGAUCAGAAAAAGAUGAUGGCUCACUGGAGAUAUCAGACUCAGACUCCUGCACAAAUCUUAAUUCUCUGCCUAUCACUGAGGAGAAGGAUGAGCUUUGUAAGACAACUUCAACAGAAAUUUCUGAGUAUUCAUCUGAUAACAACAGUGUGGGAGAAGCAGAGACAGACCUGGUGACCACUACUCCAGAGUCCAGUAGGAGGUUACAGUCGAGGUCAGGAGGGGAGAGGGAGGAUGUCACAGCACGACCGGCCAGCGAGUGGCUGAGGUCUGCGCAGGCCCUUCUCCGCACCCCCGGGAAGCAGGCGGGCAGGGCCCCCCGAGCCCCCACUGAGUCCGCCAAGAAGAGGAAGCUACUGAGGGGCGGCCUCGCUGAGAGGUUAUGUCAACUGCAGAACAGAGAAAGAUCUGCCAUUAGCUUUUGGAGGCACCAGUGUGUUUCAGAUGCUAAACCUUCCUCAGAUAAAUCUGGUGUCUUAAUUGUGAAGAUCUUAGAAAUGUUUGAAGAAUGUACAAUACAAGUUGCCAUCUGCCAGCAGCUGGAACAGCCUCCUGCUACAUUUUCAUCUGAGGAUGUUGUCAUCAAUGCAGGAGAACCCAUACUCAAAGUCCUCUUUGCAAGAGAGACAGCAGCUCACCUGAAGAGCAGGCCCCAGGAUGUCAUCCACAUUUACCCUCCCUGGCAAAAACUGAUUCUCAAAAAUGAAGAUGUUCCUGUUAUCAUGAAUACAUAUUUUAGUCAGAAGGUGCCACUGACGGAACUUUCAGAAGCAAGAGAGAAGACGUACGGUCUUACAAAGAUGCUUAUUAGGAAGAAUAUUAUAUCUUUGGCACAGACCUUCAGACUAGACGACCUUGAUGAUGAGUUAUGCCAGGAAUCUUCAGAUUAUCAGCAGGUGGCUUGUGCUCCACAAAUCCAGGACAGCCGUGAUCUGAGAGAGCGUCCCUCAGCACAGAGUGCUGUUAAUGAUUCUCUGCUUGAAAUGGUGGAAAGCCAAGGAUCAGUGGGAUGGAGAGAAGUGCAGGUACGAGUGGUUAUCCAAAGGGUGUACUGUUUGCCUGCAAAAGAAGGGUACAGAAGCCACGUUCAAGGAAACAAGCCUCUUUGUGCAACACCCAUCGUAAGUCCAGAUCCACCAAAUGUUAGGUUGUGCCUCCUUGUCCAGGAUGCCUAUGGUAUGUUCAGUGAAGUGCAGUUGCAGUCCCUGAGUUCUGCAGAUGACAUUGAGCAGUAUUGCAGGAGAUGGGAAGGAAAAUUCUGCUGCCUAGCUGGAAUGAAAAUUUUGCAAAGAACCACAAGAGGAAGGGCAUUAGGACUUUUUAGUCUGAUAGACAGUCUGUGGCCUCCAGUAGUGCCUGUAAAAGUUCCUGGACAAAGUCAAGACUCUGAAAUGAUGACAACGAAUCUUCCUCCUCCCAGCUUCUGUUAUAUUCUUACUGCUCGGUCUGGUGAGAUACAUGUGGAAGUGGAUGAGGGAGAACAGAUUUCUAAUUUGUACCAGCCACCAGCUGUGCAUGGUCUAAAGAAAAUUCUUCAGAUCGAUGGUUGUAAUGAACGGUGUAGCUUUUGGGCACAAGUGCUGUAUCAAAGGCUGCAGACAAAACACAGUGUUCCUAUAAAUCAAAGAGAAAUUCAGUUGUUUGUGACUGACUCCACCUUGCAAAGUGUGGUUCAUGGCACUCCAAAAGUUGUUGCUGUGUCAAUGGCUGCAUCGUGUGUUCUCAGGACAGAAAUCACAGAUGCCCUCGGCGUUGCCUCACGACUUGUCUGCUUCAGGGAUGCGCUGUGGGGAAACGGUAGGAUUAUUUGUGUUGAACGUACUGUUCUCUUAUUACAAAAGCCUCUUUUGUACUCGGCUGCCGGUGCUGACCUCAGUGAGCUGACUGGCCCUGUCAGACUCGAUGAGCUGGAUUCUACAACACAGGCCAACUCCAUUUGUGCUGUAAGAGGUACUAUUGUUGGAGUUAAUGAGAGGACUGCUUUCUCCUGGCCUACAUGCAACAGAUGUGGCAAUGGAAAGUUGGAACUGUGUCCCCAGGACAGAGAAUUGCUGUAUUGCAACCAGUGCUCUGGAGUUGUGAUUUCACCAGUGUUGAAAAUGCAACUGGAAGUCUUCUUGAGCUGUCCAUCCCGAUCUCAAAGUACAGUAAAAGUAAAGCUGUUGCAAAGGACAAUCUCUUCUCUCCUGAUGUCCACCACCAGUGAGGAUGGGGUAGGUAUAAUGAGUGCUGAUGAAAGAAAGGUAAACUACAUAACUUACUGUAAAGGCAGAGUACAGAGACAUUAAUCAGAUGGGAAGGUACUCAAAUCAUAGAAAUGCAAGGGACUUAUGGGGAUAUUCAUCGAACCUAUCACUCAUGCUGAACUAUUGCCAAGGCAUGAGCAGAUCAACCAUGACUUUGAUUUGCAGGAUCCUGAAAACCUCUAGGGAUGGAGAUUCUGCCUUUCCAGGCAGCCCGUUUCAGAACUGCACUAGGAGCAGUGGGAAAUUUCAUUAGAUAUAAUGAUAUUUUUUUCUCUUAUCCAGCCUGGGAUUUGAGUGGGCUGGACCCUUUGGUAAUCCCACCUUCCAGUCGCUGAUGCCUUGCUGUUGCAUGACUAUCAUCAGCUGAUAUCCACCUUUUUAGAAGAGGGGUACCACAGGCAGGGGUGCAGACAGCUGUAGCUCAGCUGUGGAUCUGCAGAGCUAUCCACAGAUAGCACCAUGUCCAGACAUGCAGGGCUGUGACGAGCAGUGCUGGGCUUUACUCCAUUUUCUGGCUGAGGAUCCAAAGACAGCAAUGAUACAGUCCAAGCAUCCCACCUUUUUGGAAUGGUCUUCUAACUGUACAAACCACAACUACUUUCUAAUAGCAUAACCAUGAAAUUACUGGCAGGCAGUAAUGGCAGAGAAAUCUGCAAAACUCAUGCAAGAUAAUAAUUUACAAUUGUAUGAAUGAAACGUGUGAGCCACGGGGAUCCAUGGGCUAAAGUACAGUUUCUGUAAUGGUGAAGUAGUUAUUCCUUUAAUCUGAGAUAUCAGAAGAACCCUGACAUUUGGCACAGUGACCCAGAUUUAUCGCAGGUGAGGGAGGCAUCCAGCGAGGUGCCUGGCUGGCAUUGGCUGCCGGAUGGUCGGCAGCAAAGGAGUGGCACCUUCAGAGGGUGAUGAAGUCCAGUUAGGAUCCUGAGAUCUCUCCCUCUCCAUUGCACGUGGAAGGGAGCAAAGAUCAGCUCGUUGUCUUGUUUAAUCAUCCCAGGUAGGUAUCUUCAGUUAGGUGACACGUAUUGGGGUCGUUUUGCUUUCCUUAUCUUAUAUGGUUUUCUAGGACUUUGCUGUUACAUGCUCCAAGGAUGUAAUGGGAUUUAUAGAUCAUUUUAAAAGUGGAACAUUUCUCUGAAAUUGUAAAUUAUUUUUCUUAUACUGGGGAGUGUAUAUUUCAUUUAAGCAAUGAGAUAAAAGAAGCUUCCAAAAUAUGUUUGCUCUUUUAAUAGCAGUUAAGUCUUUACUAAGUUUUAUAAGAUGUGUCUGGUUUCAUUACAGACUGGCAAAACAUAGUUCUUUUUUGAGUUACUAAAAUACAAACAACCUCUUUUUCAUGUUUCAGUUUUUAUAAUGCUAGUAUUUAGAAGUCUGGCAACUUAGAAACUUUUUUUUUUCCUUAGCUUAAAUGCAGGGAUAAUUUUUUCCUUUUUUGUUAAUAAGCAUUUCCAUCUCUCAACUGCUUGAUUUUAAAAAGCAGCACAUCUCGACAAAGAUUAAUCACAAGAAAUACCACUUGAGGUGGCAUUUUUUUGCCAGUGCUGCUGAAGUUUCUUUUUUUGUAAUCAUGUCUUCUGGCAGGAUGGUUGGUUUUAGCUGCUGCUGCCCCUGGCUACUUGUUCCUUACCUUGUGACAACCCUUCUGUUACAUAGCUGUUUGUCCAGCUGCAUGGUGAAUUACAUUGCAGAACCAGUCUGGGGUAAAAAUAAUCUAGAGGGGAAAAAAAAGGGGUUGUUUUUAUCUUGAAUCAGGGAAGAGACACGGGCCUCACAUACCUGUACCAAGGCACAGGCCAGAUGGAAGUGGGGGCGUGGUCAGAAGCUGGUCAUAGGCAAGUCCCACUGAGGAAAGAACUGGAUGUGAACCUGCCAUCAGAGACAGGCUCCCUCUUGGGCAAGAGCUAUGAGGUGCAGAGCGUGCUGGGAAAGGAGGUGGGGUUACUGAACUGCUACGUCC